rnacentral:rRNA from 1 species
UACAGAGGUCCCAAGCGUUGUUCGGAAUCACUGGGCGUAAAGCGCACGUAGGCGGAUGUGUCAGUCAGGGGUGAAAUCCCGGAGCUCAACUUCGGAACUGCCUCUGAUACAGCACGUCUUGAGUCCGAUAGAGGUGGGUGGAAUUCCUAGUGUAGAGGUGAAAUUCGUAGAUAUUAGGAAGAACACCGGUGGCGAAGGCGG